rnacentral:lncRNA from 1 species
CGCCACUGCAUUCCAGCCUGGGCAACAGACUGAGACCCUGCCUCAAAAGAAAAAAAGAAAAAAAAAAAAGGAGAGCGCGUACUGUUGCGGAAGGGGCACUGCUCGAGAAACAGAGACGAAGGGAUGAUUUUCAAGUAAUCAAGACACCGAGAAAGACAAGAUUGGGGAUGGAAGAGCAGUAAGAAUUAAUGGAGACGUCCAAGAAUUGUAGUUCGGGCGCGGUGGCUCAUGCCUGUAAUCCCAGCACUUUGGGAGGCUGAGAGUAUCGAGCUGUCGCCCAGGCUGGAGUGCAAUGGCAUGAUCUUGGCUCACUGCAACCUCUGCCUCCCGCGUUCUAAGUGAUUCUCCUUCCUCAGCCUCCCGAAUAGCUGGGAUUAUAGGCACGCACCAUCAUGCAUGGCUAAUUUUGUAUUUUUAGUAGAGAUGGGGUUUCCCCAUGUUGGCCAGGCUGGUCUCGAACUCCUGAUCUCAGGUUAUCCACCCGCCUCAGCCUCUCCAAGUGCUGGGAUUACAAGUGUGAGCCACCGCACCCCGCCCUAAUCUCAGCCUUUUUAUAUCUUCUUGGUAGGCCCACUUUUUGGCAUCCCCUAACAAGAAGUCCUCAGAGAUUUUUACUACUCAACAUGUGUGCGUCCCACUCAGAUGUAUUGUGUUCUUUCUGUUCACCCUCUACUUCCCAUUCCAUUUCUUCCUCUGACUUAGGGUUAGAAUGGCCCAAUGAUCCUACAACUUUUUGAUGCUAUUUCAUUUGAUUCCUCUACUGUCUAAAUCACAAGUUGGCUAACUUUACUUACUGUAAGGGAUCAGAUAGCAAAUAGUUUAGGCCUUGUGGGCCAUUCAAUCUGUCAUAACUACCCACUCUGACCAUAUGUAGUGCAAAAGCAGCCCUUGACAAUAUAUAAAUGAAUGAACGUGAAUGUAUUUCAAUAAAGCUUUACUUGUGGACACUGAAA